AAAAGGUGUGAGGGGUGCUUCAGAUAGAUACAGAUUUCUUCCCAGAACAUCCAGCCACCUGAGAGAUAAGUUCUGAAGCCAGAGGGAGCCACAUUUGCAUGUACUUACUUGUUCAUAGCCAUUUGAAGGUACAAAUUUCUCGACAAACUUAUCACCCUAUGUUGGUUUUGUUUUUCUCUAUCCCAUCAGGGGUCAACAAAGGAAACUGCUGUUUUCCAGAUGGAGUACACAACCUAUUCUUAAGCCAUUCUCCCACAUGGAGAUUAAGAAACUACUUCAGUAAAUAAAUGGAACUCAUUUAAAGAAUGAGAACAUGAAGCAGGAUUAACUGGAC
rnacentral:lncRNA from 1 species